rnacentral:sRNA from 1 species
AUCCAAUUCAUAUAAUGGGCAUGUCACAACGUUAUCCGCACCAUCGCUUCGUGCACCAGUGACAAUUUGAACAGGGUAAUCAUCA